UACGUAGGGGGCUAGCGUUGUCCGGAUUUAUUGGGCGUAAAGAGCGUGUAGGCGGCCAGGUAGGUCUGCUGUGAAAACUCGAGGCUCAACCUCGAGACGUCGGCGGAAACCAUCUGGCUAGAGUCCGGAAGAGGAGAGUGGAAUUCCUGGUGUAGCGGUGAAAUGCGCAGAUAUCAGGAAGAACACCCGUGGCGAAGGCGGCUCACUGGCUCGGUACUGACGCUGAGGUGCGAAAGCGUGGGGAGCAAACAGG
rnacentral:rRNA from 1 species